rnacentral:rRNA from 1 species
GAACGCGUGGCGGCGUGCCUAAUACAUGCAAGUCGAUCGCACUACUCGGUAGUGAGAGGCGAACGGGAGAGUAACACGUAGGUAACAUAUCUAUAUGACGAGGAUAACGGUUGGAAACGACUGCUAAGACUGGAUAGGAGUAGAGGAGGCAUCUCUUUUACUUUAAAGGACUUUUCGGAGUACGCGUAUGGAGUGACCUGCGGCGCAUUAGUUAGUUGGUGGGGUAGUGGCCUACCAAGACGAUGAUGCGUAGCCGGACUGAGAGGUUGAACGGCCACAUUGGGACUGAGACACGGCCCAGACUCCUACGGGAGGCAGCAGUAGGGAAUUUUCGGCAAUGGGGGGAACCCUGACCGAGACCAACGCCGCGUGAAUGACGAAGUACUUCGGUAUGUAAAGUUCUUUUAUUAAGGAAGAAAGUGCAGUGGAAAAACUGUAUAGACGGUACUUAUUGAAUAAGCCCCGGCUAACUAUGUGCCAGCCGCCGC